AUGUACAAUUUUAAACUAAAACCCUACAUUAUUCAUGUGAGCAGUGUUAUUUCUCAUGUGCUAUAUAAUAGUUGAAGAUUAAUUAGCAGUAUAACUCCAUAGUGAUACUGCCAGUCUCCUUCAGACAGUU